rnacentral:rRNA from 1 species
UACGAGGGGGGCGAGCGUUGUUCGGAAUUAUUGGGCGUAAAGGGUGCGUAGGCGGUUUGGUAAGUCACCUGUGAAAUCUCCUGGCUCAACUGGGAGCUUGCAGGCGAAACUGCCGUGCUGGAGUGUGGGAGAGGUGCGUGGAAUUCCUGGUGUAGCGGUGAAAUGCGUAGAUAUCAGGAGGAACACCUGUGGCGAAAGCGGCGCACUGGACCACAACUGACGCUGAGGCGCGAAAGCUAGGGGAGCGAACAGG